rnacentral:lncRNA from 1 species
CACACUCAUCGGAUGCAUUAACUCCUAUACCGCCACCUUCUCCACUAAACGGUUCAUCUACACCACCUUCUCCAGUACUAGAUGGUUCAUCUCCACCACCUUCUCCGCUUGAUGGUUCAACUCUUACUCCACCACCUGUUCAGCAAGUCGGUUCAUCUCCACCACCACUAGGGACUGAUGUGACAAAUCCAAUUACUCCAACUCAAUCUCCUGUUUCAGAACCUCCUCCUCCUAAUGCUGCUUCUUCAAUCUUGGUUAGCUUUGG